rnacentral:rRNA from 1 species
CCUACGGGGGGCUGCAGUGGGGAAUAUUGGACAAUGGGGGCAACCCUGAUCCAGCCAUGCCGCGUGUGUGAAGAAGGCCCUCGGGUUGUAAAGCACUUUCAGUGAGGAAGAACGCCUGGUGGUUAAUACCCAUCAGGAAAGACAUCACUCACAGAAGAAGCACCGGCUAACUCCGUGCCAGCAGCCGCGGUAAUACGGAGGGUGCGAGCGUUAAUCGGAAUUACUGGGCGUAAAGCGCGCGUAGGUGGCUUGAUAAGCCGGUUGUGAAAGCCCCGGGCUCAACCUGGGAACGGCAUCCGGAACUGUCAAGCUAGAGUGCAGGAGAGGAAGGUAGAAUUCCCGGGGUAGCGGUGAAAUGCGUAGAGAUCGGGAGGAAUACCAGUGGCGAAGGCGGCCUUCUGGACUGACACUGACACUGAGGUGCGAAAGCGUGGGUAGCAAACAGGAUUAGAUACCCCAGUAGUC